CGAAGCAACGCCACAGCGCGGUACCGCCCCGCGGCCGGGCGGUGUAAGCGGGGCCUCGAGCGGAGGGGACUUGCGCUGGUUGGUCGCGUUAGCGGUCAAACAGAAGUUAAAGCUAUUAAAGAGGGCAUUAUCCGAAUGCCUCACGGGCGGACAUGGAGCAGCAGCCACCUCGCUAGGAAGUCUCUGUCAGCGUUUGACCGCUCUCACUGUUGAGAAGUUUCUCGUAAUGCCAUGUCUGAACCUCCCCUAUAAAUAUGGAUAAAUAUGGGUAUGUUAUAAAUUGAAAAAUACAGCUUUAGCUGUUUGAUUUGGAGAAGGAACUUUUGUUUCCCGUAUGCAUUCCACUGCAGGACACCACUGCAAGUUCCUUUGCACAUAAUUCGGAACAAAUGAAAGCCAAACUGAUUUCUACAGAAGGGCCGUGAUGGGGGAGUUCUUUUUUUUUCUUCCAUACCCGCAGAUAACCAGUUCGGAUUUAUAUAAAGACAAAAAAUGGUUUGAACUCAGGCUCUCCUUCAGCGUGCCUCAGUGGGUAUCGGUUUCCUUGCAGCAGCAGGAGGAAAAAAGUCACCGUUGUGCGGAACUUCUUUUUUUUUUUUUUCGAUUAUUCAAAAGCCUCCUUAAUAAUACAGAACAGCUGAGGGGAUUCGUGUGAUUUUAUUCCCUGUCGAAGUCGCUGAGCAAUUACAUCCAGCCACAGGGCUGUGCUUGUGCUGCUGCCGGUUGUUGCUGGGUUCUCUCUGAUGCUUUGGAAGCUGUGCCCUCCCCAGCCUAACAUGCAGGCCUAUCGUUGGACAAAUCGAGGCUCCUUUGUUCUGAUGUUAAGCGCUAAGCCCUGACAACAGAGAACAAAAGGUCCAAGAACAGCUUGUGCUAAAGGCAAAACUUUCCUUUGCUUCGUCGUAAUUCUUCCUUGUUGGCUCUGAGAACCUUGGAGGAUCUUGGUAGCUGCCUCCUAGCGAGAGCAGAAAAUAUUGCAGUGCAGGGGCAAGACCUGAGGCUGUGCUCUCUUUGGAGACUUUAGGAAUAUUUCCCCCUCAGACUUCUUCUUCCUGGUGGUUGUAUCUGAGGAUGUGUCAUGACUGAAUUGCCAGUGGAAGUGGAACCAUCAACCAAAUGAACAGUGACAAAUCACCGUGCCCAGACCUUGUUCAUAGCUGAAUUGCAAUGGAAAGCAAGUCUGAAAUGUCUGAACUAUUAACUGCUGUGUAUAAUGUCUUGUUUAAAACCAUCUUGAUACCAGCUAUUUCUUUGGGUAUUAUUUCUGCUUAAGAAGACGUGUUCCUUAAAUGACCAGUUGACAAAGCAGAGUGAAAAUGGACAUCUGAACAACUUUUAGGUGCAGAAUGAUACAUCACAGGAUUGAUACGUUCUCAGCUUUGCUCCGGGGCCUGAGGAGAAGGAUGAUAUUCUCAUGCUCCAUAGGGAGCACGUCCCUCUCACUGGGAGCUGGCAGGACAAGCCUUGAGCAUUGCCUGGAAGCUGAGCCCCAGCCCCAGCCCAACCCGGAGCCUCUGGCAGUGGCGGGCAGGAACCUCACCAAGAUGCACGCGCAGACUGGGACGUGAAUGCAGAGUGCUGCCUCCCUUCCAGAAGGACACACGGGUGCAUCAUCUACAGGAAGAUGAUCCUUUGGCGGAUUCAGUCUCCACAUAUACAAAGACCAGAAAUGAGUAUACCAGCAGAAGGCACAUGGAGCACCAGCAGCAUUUCAUAAAUCUUCAUAACGGAAGGGGAGAUACUCCCGUCUUUUAAGACAGUUCUGAGAACAACUGCUGAGACAAGAAGCAAGAAUUUCCAGAGUCUGAAUGGAAACCUUGUGUGUCUAGCAAGUAUUUUGAGAUAAACUCCCGAAGAACCUUUAAAAUGUCAGAGAAUUAAAUGGGAAUUUGACUGAUGAUUCCAGUGAAGAUGUGGUUUUACUCCUGUGUUAGUAGGCUGAGCCAGUGAGCACUCUGACAGAUGUCAGGGAGAUCAAUGUCCUCCACAAAACGACCCUUGAAUAAUUUAUUCUGUCUUCACGAGGUCCUUCAGACAAUAUGACUGAGUGGAGAGAGGAGAAAAUGAAGGCUUGCAUGAUUUCCCACAUUUUUCUCCUAGUGGAGCUGGAGUAAAGGAUCUCCAUUUUGAGACCCUUAAUUAUUAAACCUCUUGAUACCCUUUCCCCCGUUCUCUCAUGACUUCUUCCUUUACCCCCCAAUUUUUUUUCCACUUAAAAAUCCAUUUGACAUCUGGGUGCUGAGCCAUGGCCCUAAGUUGUAGUUUUCCCAACAGGUUAUGAAGUCCUAUUUGCUGUUAUUGGUUAUUACGUUCUUUCACUUUAAACAGUAUAAAAGCAAGCACUGUAAUUUUUUCUGUCUUUGAAACGCAGAAGAGAAAAGGUUGUGUUCUUUUUAUUUGUGAGAUCUUAAUCAUAAAUUGGUUUCUUGGACAGAAAUAUUCACUUGGCAUUAAGCAACAAUAAAGGCCUUUGCUUUCACUUCAGGCUGCUUUAGAACAUUUCAAAGGCUACAGGAAAUAUUCUUUCUAUGAUUUACACUCUAUCUUAAUUGUGCAGCAGUAUUUCCAAAACAAUAUUGAAGGAUGUUCUUUUGUGGGUAGCUAAGAACAAAAAAAUCUUGUUUAACUUUUGAGCUAUGUAUAUUUUCUUGGCAAAGAAUAAUUUGGGAGAUGGAUAAAAGAUAGCUUUUUUGCUCCAAGGAAAGGCUUAGCUCUAGCAGACUGAAUUUUGUUACCAAU
ensembl:lncRNA